UAGGGAAUAUUGGGCAAUGGAGGCAACUCUGACCCAGCCAUGCCGCGUGCAGGAAGAAGGCGUUAUGCGUUGUAAACUGCUUUUGAUUGGGAACAAAUGCCCGCCGAGGCGGGAGCUGAGUGUACCAAUAGAAUAAGCCACGGCUAACUACGUGCCAGCAGCCGCGGUAAUACGUAGGUGGCAAGCGUUGUCCGGAUUUAUUGGGUUUAAAGGGUGCGUAGGCGGCUUUGUAAGUCAGUGGUGAAAGCCGGUAGCUUAACUAUCGAAAUGCCAUUGAUACUGCAGAGCUUGAGUACAGUUGAGGUAGGCGGAAUUGACAGUGUAGCGGUGAAAUGCUUAGAUAUUGUCAAGAACUCCGAUUGCGAAGGCAGCUUACUAAAGUGUAACUGACGCUGAGGCA
rnacentral:rRNA from 1 species